GAGGAGUCGAGCAGAGAGAGCUGCUUUUCCAUGAAACGGGAGUAAAGUAGUGAACUUAGAGGCGAGAGACGAACGUAAAGUAUCGAUCAUAUACCACUACCAACGUUUGGAUCGAUAUCUGCAUCGAUCUGCCCACCCUUGUCUCCUGGAUCGUAGCUGAGAUCAGCGUGAACCACGUGGGUCUCUGCUCCCUGAUCUGUUUGCUGUGUUUGGAAAGAGUUCCAGCUUCAUCACGGAGUUUCUCUCGGUUUGUGGGCUCAUCUAAAGCUGAGUAACAGGAGGAGAAGAGUCUGGUGGAGCAGCACAGGAACAAUUUCAGCCAUUUGGACUCAGCUCAGCCACUACAGAGGAAACAAUGACUUCAACACAAAAGGACCAACAUGGAGCGAGAAGUCAGCGCUCUCAGGAGGCCGACAAACCUCACAGAAGAACGGGAGAGAAAAAAUACAGCUGUGAUGAGUGUGGGAAGAAUUUUUUCCGGGCCGACAGCUUAAAAAGACACAAACUCAUCCACAGUGGAGUUAAAGCACACAGCUGUGCGUUGUGUGGAACAUCUUUUGCCCUGCCUGAAAAUUUAAAAACACACCAAGUCAUCCACACUGGAAUUAAAGCAUACAGCUGUGACUUGUGUGGAAAGUCUUUUACCCUGGCUGCAAACUUAAAAACACAUCAACUCAUCCACAGUGGAGUUAAAGCACACAGCUGUGACUUGUGUGGAAAGUCUUUUACCCUGGCUGCAAACUUAAAAAGACACCAACUCAUCCACAGUGGAGUUAAAGCACACAGCUGUGACUUGUGUGGAAAGUCUUUUACCCAUGCUGAAAGCUUAAAAACACACCAACUCAUCCACAGUGGGUUUAAAGCAUACUGCUGUGACUUGUGUGGAAAGUCUUUUACCCUGGCUAUAAGCUUAAAAAGACACCAACUCACCCACUCUGGAAUUAAGGCAUACAGCUGUGACAUUUGUGGAAAAAAUUUCAGCCAGCCAGGCAGCCGAAAUAUUCACCUACGGAUUCACACUGGAAGUGAUGUUUACUGCUGUGAUCAGUGUGGGAAACACUUUACAACAGCCACACAGUUACAGAGCCACAUGUUUACCCACACUGAAGAAAGACCUUAUAAAUGCGACCUGUGUGAUAAGACUUUUAAGUCUCCACCUCACCUGAAAAAACACCAACACGUCCACACUAGAAAAUAACUCCACAAGUGCAGUUACUGUGAGAAGCAGAGCGACACAGAUGGAUCCAGUUCUCAACCCUGUCGUCACUGUGGUGGUGGGAAAGCGUUUCGUUGUGACCUUUGUGGAAAAACUUUCAGUCAUUAAGAGAGCUUAAUAAGGCAUCAACGUAGAGACCCUGGAGACAAAAUGAGCUACUGCAGAGAAUGUGGUAGAGGCUUCACCACAUCAAGUGCAUUAAAAAACAUGAACUCUGUCAUAGUGGGGUCAAAAAGGACAUCUGUGACCAGUGUGGGUCAUCCUUCACCACUGCAGUGCAGAUAACAUUAAAGUGCAUAAAUGCGUCCACACAGGAGAGACACCAUACAAGUGCAGACACUGUGACAUAAGCUUCUCAUGUUCAGGUAAUCGUAACGUUCAUGAAAGUACACACAUUGAAGGGAACUUCAGCUGUGACCUGUGUGACAAAAGCUUCAAAAAACAUUCACUUCAUUAUCUGCUCUGUGAAAACAUCAUCUGAACUUGGAGGGGGCAAACACAGUGUACAGAUGAGUGUUAACAUGUGCUUGUCAGGCACUCUUUUUGGCUGUCGUGAUUUACACUUUACACUCUUUCAUCUUCCGUUUCUCGCCUGUACCAACCAUUGACUGUCAUCGUCAUUUUCCCCUCUCUCAUUCUUAAAGGUCUGUGCCUGUAACACUCUGCUCAUGUUGUCUUCAUAUUAAAUCUUUAAAAAAAAUAUUUAAAAAAAUGUAAAAAAAUUCUUCACGUGAAUAUGCGGGCCCUGAGUUUGAGACCCGUUUUUAUC